CCUGCCAGACCAGAGGCAGGACCCUGGUGGGAUCUGAAGGGACAGAGCAGCCCCACCAGAGAGAGCAUCACCCAGAGAGAGAGCCACUACCCUCAGCCUCCUUUGCCAACGGGGGUCACCCCCCCCACCCCCACUCCCCGGCGAGCCUGGCUCCUGGUCCCUCCCUGGCCCCUUCCCUGCAGCACCGUCCCUGGUCCCUGUCCCCAAAGUGGUGUCUAGCGGGUCAGGAGGCAAGAGCAGAAGCGCAGCCACCCUACCCACCAGCCAGCUCCCUGGGCACCACUGGGGCCUCCGGCCUGAAUCCUGGGGCGCUGCAGCCGGCGGCCAGAGCUGUGCCCUCCGUGUGCCAGCACAAGACAUGUACAGAUGGGGCGGCGGAACAGGUCAGGAAAUGAAGAGUAAGGGAGCAUCGCAAUCCCACAGAUACAAAACCAGCCCCCUGCCUGCCUCUCCCUGGGGAAACGGAUCCCGGUUCAUCUCACUCAGGAGCUUGGCAUCUGGCCUGGGGUCAGAAUUCCUCGCAGAAAAUCUAACGAAAGGAGAAAAGCACAUUUUCAAGCCCGAACAAGAAAGAUGCUUCCCGGAAGUUAUGACGUCAUUGCAUCUGGGGGCACUGCGCUUUUGUGGUGAAGAAAAAGGAUGGAAUCUAUCUUAAGGGAAUAAUGAACGAGGCUGCAGGGAUGGAUGUACAAGGACACCGUAGUGCUAUUUAUGAUAAGCCUAAAUUGGAAGAGUUUUCUACAACGAAUGUUUUCCUAAUUAUGUUUGAAAACUUAGUCUACGAAGCCUCCUCGCCCCAUCGAGUGACACGGUCCUCAAUGCCACAGCAGGUUGAGGCUGGCCUCAAGCUGUGGUUUGGGGCAGGUGGGGUGGCAGGUGGCCCUUUGUGGGCCAGGUUCGCAGAGUGUCACCGCAUCAUCGGUCCCCGCGGAGGGCCUGUGACCACAGAAAGGAACUCCACCAAACCCAAACUCACGUCUCCCUAUCUCAGCGUCCUACCUGCCAGGUCCCCAAAUUACCCGCAGCCAGCCCCAUUCCGUAUGAAGGAAGUGCACUGGAAGGAAGGUUGCAGUUAAAUUACUUACUCUUGUAAAUUUUGCCCAAACCAAGGACUUUCUAAAAACAUUGCUAGAGGGGCACCUGGGUGGCUCAGUCGGUUGAGCGUCUGACUUCAGCUCAGGUCAUGGUCUCAUGGUUCAUGAGUUUGAGGCCCACAUCGGGCUCUGUGCUGACAGCUCAGAGCCUGGAGCCUGCUUCGGAUUCUGUGUCUCCCUCUCUCUCUG